rnacentral:rRNA from 1 species
CACGUAGGGCGCGAGCGUUGUCCGGAAUUAUUGGGCGUAAAGAGCUCGUAGGCGGCCUGUUGCGUCCGCUGUGAAAGCCCCGGGGCUUAACCCCGGGUCGGCAGUGGAUACGGGCAGGCUAGAGGUAGGUAGGGGAGAAUGGAAUUCCCCGGUGUAGCGGUGAAAUGCGCAGAUAUCAGGAGGAACACCAAUAGCGAAGGCAGCUCGCUGGGACGGUACUGACGCUGAGACGCGAAAGCGUGGGGAGCAAACAGG